rnacentral:lncRNA from 1 species
GUUGCUGAGGGGGGAUGAGAGAUGGAGACAGAAAGAAAGAGAGAGAGAAAGGGUGAAGUAGGACGAAGCAACAACUGUCUCAUCACUUGCUGAAGGAGAGGGAACAAUACUACAGUAUUGUCUCAGGGCAGAGUUGUCAGUGACUGUCAUCCUCCUACUUCCUUUCUCUCUCUUUCCAUCCUUCGCUCUCCCCCCUCCGCCCAACCCACACCCUUCUUGUCUUCUCCCUCCCAUUUCAUCACCACAGAGGGAAAAACGAUGGAGCAUUUCGUCUGCCGAAGGUGAAAAGAACUCGUCGAGUGACAAGUCAACCCCAGAGAUCCAGAGCUCCUGGGACGGCUUCAAGACCAUGACCCCCGAGCUGUCCAUCGUGCCUGGGGAGCAGAAGGACCGCAUGGAGCUGCACAAUAAGAACUGGGACUCGUCCUCUGCUAACACACCCGACUCGUCCGAGGGAGACUUCCAGACUGAAGUGUGAAGACAAAUAGAUGUACACACUCACUUGAAUACACACUCUCAUCCUGAGCUGCGGUACAGAUGCACACCGAGAUACUGAACCUCUGAAAAGCUAUACAUAAGUACAGGAUUUUUGACAAAGACCUCACACACAGUGCUCCCCGUCUCCUGCAGUGUGCUCUGUCGGAUCCCAAACUGUGUUUGUUUACUUCUGCAGUGGACAGACAUGGAAAGAAGACUGUUCUACUCUACAGUAUAUUUUCGCAAAGACCAUUGAAAAGAAAGAACAGGAGCUUGGCAACGUCUGGGAUGGAGGAAGAUUUUUAAAUGAACUAUAAAAAAAAAAAAAAGUAUAUGAAAAAGUUAUUUCUGAGAAAAAUGUCUUGAUUUUAUUCUGGAGAAAAAAAAGAAAAUCUCUGUCAAUUGUUUGAGGAUUUUCUAAAAAAAAGAAAAAUAAUAUUUCUGCACUGUUCAGUUCAUUUAUAGCGAGAGGAAGAAAAUCUCACUGAGGUUCUCACAUUGGUAGCCCCCCCAGGCACCCUGCUUUCAUUCCUUUCCCUUUCCUUUCUAAUUGGUGAAGACACCAUUCAAUCUCUUAGACUUUCCUUUUUUUUCUUUUCAUCAUUACAGAUGGAUAGGGGAUGGGGGACAGGGAAAGAGCUGCUCAUUGAUUUGCCAUCCUCUGCUUUUUUCAGGUUCCAGUUCAACAAUCCCAUCCAUCUAUUCCUCUCAUCUUCGUAAAGAUUGUAUCCCCCCUUAUUUUGUGUAUUUUCUAAACAUGUCCUCCCCUAUGGUUUGGAAAUUUGAAUAAGAAAAGAUAUUACGAUUAAAACAAAUAACUACUGGGUUGUGUUCUAUGUUCUGAAGACAGUCCGACUGUUCAGGAAGAAUAUAUUUAUUUUCAGACUGGUUGGGGUUUUUAUCUGGAUCUUUUUUCUUUUUUUUUCCUGUGAGAAUUUACCCAUGUGGAACUUAUAAAAAAAAGGACUUAGGACACACACAGCACAUGAAUGUGAGCUUGCUUUCUGGGGUAAUGUGAGCCGCAUGUCAUCCAACCAUAAGGGAAAAGAAGGAUAGUGAUCGUCAUGCAGAUUCUCCCAUCUCCUUCUUUUUCCCCCCACAGCUUGGAGAUAAAGGCAUUUAAAGACUCCAUCAUCUGAAUCAAUUUCAGCCAUCACCAAU